UUAUGGCCAUAUCAUGCUAAACUCCAGUUCCUGUAUGAUCACUGAAGUUAAACAACAUUGAGCCUAAGCAGUACCGAGAUGGGUGACCACUUGGGAAUACAAGGUGCUGUAAG